ACAUGGACAAGGACGGGUGGUGUCUUGAAGGUGACAACAAAAGAAGGUGGUGGGUCCCAGGCCACAGAUGUUCCUGAUGCAGUCCUUGGGUCUGUGUGUGCUUUGGCCUGGCUGCCCUGUGUCCCCUGUGCUGAUUCAGGAGUCCCUGGGAAUGUAGAAAGUAGAAUAUUCAUUAGGAAACAGGACCCCAAUGAGGAUGAGCCAAACAUCCGAGUGCUCCUUGAGCACCGCUUUUACAAGGAGAAGAGCAAGAGCGUCAAGCAGACCUGUGACAAGUGUAACGCCAUCAUCUGGGGGCUCAUUCAGACCUGGUACACCUGCACAGGUGGGCCGAGACCCAGACGAGGAGUGAGGAAUGAGAGAGACCAAAGUGCCUGCCUCCGCUGGGCUCACAUUCAGAUCUGAGCUAUCCAGUGUGGUGGCCACUAGCCAAACAUGGCCAGUCAAAGUUAAAUUAACUAAAUAUGCAUUUCCUCGUUGUACUGUCUACAUUGGACAGGGCUGUUCUGGAUGAGAAAUUAAACUAGUGAAUUAC
rnacentral:sRNA from 1 species